UUUUAUUAUGAGAAGUUGAUACGUUCUUAAGGUCAUUCCUUGUUGCCACUCAAUGGCCAGGGUCAGAGCAGGCACCAGAGCAUUUGCACCAGAUAGGGAGUUUGGUUGUCUCCUGCUUCCCGAGGAGGUUGCAACCUGUUCUGAAACUUUUGCACUAUUGAACUUUAGAACUUGGCCUUGCAUGAAACAUGGCAAGCUCUGUCUGGCUACACAAGGUCAGCAGCCUCUCUGUUCUGCCCACGUUGUAAGGAUGGCGGAGAAAUUCUCCUUUUGGUGGACAGAGUAACUUACUGAUUGAGGUCAGUGCUACAAAGAGAUCCCCACUGGACAGAAAUAUGUGCACGGUGAAGCUUCCUUUGUAACAUUAAGACUUAUUUCUGGCUUUCCCAAGGAAGGCUGUUUUCUAAUUUAACUAUUGCAAGUCCACUAUAUCUGCAAAGUAUUAUUUAUAUUAUAUAAAU
rnacentral:lncRNA from 12 species